GUUGACGGUUACAGCAGUUC
rnacentral:misc_RNA from 1 species